CAGCCGCCGCGGUAAUACGGAGGGGGCUAGCGUUGUUCGGAAUUACUGGGCGUAAAGCGCACGUAGGCGGCUCUGUAAGUUAGAGGUGAAAGCCUGGGGCUCAACUCCAGAAUUGCCUUUAAGACUGCAUCGCUUGAACGUCGGAGAGGUGAGUGGAUUUCCGAGUGUAGAGGUGAAAUUCGUAGAUAUUCGGAAGAACACCAGUGGCGAAGGCGGCUCACUGACGACUGUUGACGCUGAGGUGCGAAAGCGUGGGGAGCAAACAGGAUUAGAUACCCCCGUAGUCCCUGUCUCUUAUACA
rnacentral:rRNA from 1 species